rnacentral:rRNA from 1 species
AUUGAACGCUGGCGGCAGGCCUAACACAUGCAAGUCGAGCGAGCGGCGGCCGGGUGAGUCAUGUCUGGGAAACUGCCUGAUGGAGGGGGAUAACUACUGGAAACGGUAGCUACUACCGCAUACCAUCAGAUGUGCCCAGAUGGGAUUAGCUAGUAGGUGGGUUCACGGAUCACCUAGGCGACGCUCCCUAGCUGGUCUGAGAGGAUGACCAGCGACAAUGGAACUGAGACACGGUCCAGACUCCAACGGGAGGCAGCAGUGGGGAAUAUUGCGCAAUGGGCGAAAGCCUGAGACAGCCAUGCGGCGUGUGUGAAGAAGGCCUGCGGGUUGUAAAGCACUUUCAGCGGGGAGGCGUUACCCGCAGAAGAAGCACCGGCUAACUCCGUGCCAGCAGCCGCGGUAAUUC